rnacentral:rRNA from 1 species
AUGCUUCUCCUAAAGACUAAGCCAUGCAUGCCUUCGAAUACGAGGAAGCAAUUCUCUCUGAAUCUGCGAACGGCUCCGCAAACCAGUUGUAAACUAUAGCAAGCAAGCCCGGGUCUCGCCCGCAAGGGUGGGGUUCGGGCAACACGGAUAACCCUGGUAAUUCUGAGGCUAAUACGAGAACGCAAUCCCUGGCCGACCGGAAACGGAAGGCUGGGAGGCGUAUGAGUUGUGCCGCGAGAAUUCGACGGGAAUGUACAUACGCCUGGACCGCGCCAAAGACGGAUGGGUUCCUUGGGCCUUCACGGGUUCGGGGGGCCUGCCCGAGCGGCUCUUGCUGUGUGCUUCUGACCUAUCAACUAGAUGGCAGCAUAAGGGACAUGCUAUGGUUACAACGGGUACAGAGGAUUAGGGUUCGAUCCUGGAGAGUGGGCCUGAGAGAUUGCUCAUACUUCUAAGGAAGGCAGCAGGCGCGCAACGUUCCCCUUGUGCAAUGCAUGAGGGCGUUAGGGGACAUAUGAAUGCCUGCCCAUUGGGUGGGCAAUUCAAAUGGGUCUGUUGUAAACAGGCUC